UACGGAGGGUGCAAGCGUUAUCCGGAUUCACUGGGUUUAAAGGGUGCGUAGGUGGGUCUGUAAGUCAGUGGUGAAAUCUCCGUGCUUAACAUGGAAACUGCCAUUGAUACUAUAGGUCUUGAAUUUUCUGGAGGUAAGCGGAAUAUGUCAUGUAGCGGUGAAAUGCUUAGAUAUGACAUAGAACACCAAUUGCGAAGGCAGCCUCCUGCGGGAACAUUGACACUGAGGCACGAAAGCGUGGGGAUCAAACAGG
rnacentral:rRNA from 1 species